rnacentral:lncRNA from 12 species
UGGUGGCAUCUGGGGCCAUGUGGAAGAAGCAGGUGACUGGGGCAUCCAGGAAGAAUGGGGCUCAGGACGAGGUUCCAGGCUGUGCCAAGGCUCUCCUGGAAGCACACAAUGCACACGAACUCCCCAGAAGAGGACAAUGGAAGGAGGCUUGGGGAGACCGGGAUGUGGUUACACAAGGGGAAGAAAUGAAACGUGGCUGUGCGGCAGUGAUUUUCAAAUGAGGACGUGAAUGGGGCAGAUGAGGUACCAGGUGUUCAGUGGGAGCAGUUCUCUGCAGAGUUUGGAAAGAGCUCCCUCUGAUCCUGGCCGUGGACUCAGGCCACUGUGGCUGACAGUGCAUUGGAAGACUCCCUGCCUGGACCCCGGAGUAUUUCUGUUCCUGCUUGUGAACAGCAGGAGUCGAGGGGCUAUAGGACUGUGUACUUCCUUUAGAGAGAAGUUAAAAAAAAAAUCAAUGACUUUGGGGGAAAAAAGUGUGGGGAAGGAGGAACAGUAUGCAUCAUGAAUGCAAGCAUCUCUGCUCCCUGCCCUCAGACCAGCUCCCAUUCAGGACCAUCAGGGAGAGUGGGUUUAUUUAUCUAUUUUAUUUUUCAUUUUUUAAAAGAUUUUAUCUAUUUAUUCAUGAGACACACACACAGAGAGGCAGAGAGGCAGAGGGAGAAGCAAGGAGCCCUACAUGGAGCCCGACAGGGAGCCCGACAUGGGACUUGUUCCCAGGACCCUGGGAUCACGCCCUGAGCUGAAGGCUGACGCUCAACCACUGAGCCACCGAGGUGUCCCUUGGUGCUUGUUUUUUUUUUUUUUUUUUUAAUUUAUUCAUGAGAGACACACACAGAGAGGCAGAGACACAGGCAGAGAGAAAAGCAGGGUCCAUGCUGGGAGCCCGAUGUGGGACUCAAUCCCGGGACUCUAGGAUCGUGCCCUGAGCCAAAGGCAGACACUCAACCACUGAGCCACCCAGGCAUUCCUUGAUGCUUGUUUUAAAUAAAUCUCUAGUUGCCUCUUCCUGGCCCGAGUGA